UACGAAGGGGGCUAGCGUUGCUCGGAAUUACUGGGCGUAAAGCGCACGUAGGCGGCUUUCUAAGUCGGGGUGAAUCCUGGAGCUCAACUCCAGAACUGCCUUCGAUACUGGAAAGCUCGAGUCCGGGAGAGGUGAGUGGAACUGCGAGUGUAGUGGUGAAAUGCGUAGAUAUCCGGAGGAACACCAGUGGCGAAGGCGGCCUCUGGACUGCUUCUGACGCUCAGACGCGAAAGCUAGGGG
rnacentral:rRNA from 1 species